UGGGGAAUAUUGGGCAAUGGGCGCAAGCCUGACCCAGCAACGCCGCGUGAAGGAAGAAGGCUUUCGGGUUGUAAACUUCUUUUCUCAGGGACGAAGCAAGUGACGGUACCUGAGGAAUAAGCCACGGCUAACUACGUGCCAGCAGCCGCGGUAAUACGUAGGUGGCAGGCGUUAUCCGGAUUUACUGGGUGUAAAGGGCGUGUAGGCGGGGAAGCAAGUCAGAUGUGAAAAUCCACGGGCUCAACCUGUGGCCUGCAUUUGAAACUGUUUUUACUUGAGUACUGGAGAGGCAGACGGAAUUCCUAGUGUAGCGGUGAAAUGCGUAGAUAUUAGGAGGAACACCAGUGGCGAAGGCGGUCUGCUGGACAGCAACUGACGCUGAGGCGCGAAAGCGUGGGGAGCAAACAGGAUUAGAUACCC
rnacentral:rRNA from 1 species